GAGUUUGAUCUUGGCUCAGGAUGAACGCUAGCGGCAGGCCUAAUACAUGCAAGUCGAGGGGCAGCGCGGGUAGCAAUACCUGGCGGCGACCGGCGCACGGGUGCGUAACACGUAUACAAUCUGCCUUUAACAGGGGGAUAGCCCGGAGAAAUCCGGAUUAAUACCCCAUAAUAUAUUGAGUGGCAUCACUUGAUAUUGAAAGCUCCGGCGGUUAGAGAUGAGUAUGCGCCUGAUUAGUUAGUUGGUGAGGUAACGGCUCACCAAGACUUCGAUCAGUAGGGGAUCUGAGAGGACUACCCCCCACACGGAUACUGAGACACGGAUCCGACUCCUACGGGAGGCAGCAGUAAGGAAUAUUGGACAAUGCCCGCAAGGGUGAUCCAGCCAUGCCGCGUGCAGGAAGACGGCCCUAUGGGUUGUAAACUGCUUUUACGCCGGAGAAAACCCCUUCUCGUGAGGAGGGCUGAUAGUAUGGUGAGAAUAAGCAUCGGCUAACUUCGUGCCAGCCGCC
rnacentral:rRNA from 1 species